rnacentral:rRNA from 1 species
GACAGAGGGUGCAAACGUUAUUCGGAAUUACUGGGCGUAAAGCGCGUGUAGGCGGCCCUGCAAGUCGGGUGUGAAAUCCCACGGCUCAACCGUGGAAGUGCAUUCGAAACUGCAGGGCUAGAGUCCUGGAGAGGAAGGUGGAAUGCUUGGUGUAGAGGUGAAAUUCGUAGAUAUCAAGCGGAACACCGGUGGCGAAGGCGGCCUUCUGGACAGUGACUGACGCUGAGACGCGAAAGCGUGGGGAGCAAACAGG